AUUGAACGCUGGCGGCAGGCCUAACACAUGCAAGUCGAACGAGUGGCGGACGGGUGAGUAAUGUCUGGGAAACUGCCUGAUGGAGGGGGAUAAUUACUGGAAACGGUAGCUAAUACCGCAUACCAUCGGAUGUGCCCAGAUGGGAUUAGCUAGUAGGUGGGGGAACGGCUCACCUAUGCGACGAUCCCUAGCUGGUCUGAGAGGAUGACCAGCCACAAUGGGACUGAGGCACGGUCCAGACUCCUACGGGAGGCCGCAGGGGGGAAUAUUGCACAAAGGGGGCAAGCCUGAUGCAGCCAUGCCGCGGGUAUGAAGAAGGCCUUCGGGUUGUAAAGUACUUUCAGCGGGGAGGCGUUGACCGCAGAAGAAGCCACGGCUAACUACGUGCCAGCAGCCGCGGUAAUUC
rnacentral:rRNA from 1 species